rnacentral:rRNA from 1 species
UGGGGAAUUUUGGACAAUGGGCGAAAGCCUGAUCCAGCAAUGCCGCGUGUGUGAAGAAGGCCUUCGGGUUGUAAAGCACUUUUGUCCGGAAAGAAAUCCUUGGCUCUAAUACAGUCGGGGGAUGACGGUACCGGAAGAAUAAGCACCGGCUAACUACGUGCCAGCAGCCGCGGUAAUACGUAGGGUGCAAGCGUUAAUCGGAAUUACUGGGCGUAAAGCGUGCGCAGGCGGUUUGCUAAGACCGAUGUGAAAUCCCCGGGCUCAACCUGGGAACUGCAUUGGUGACUGGCAGGCUAGAGUGUGGCAGAGGGGGGUAGAAUUCCACGUGUAGCAGUGAAAUGCGUAGAGAUAUGGAGGAAUACCGAUGGCGAAGGCAGCCCCCUGGGCCAAUACUGACGCUCAUGCACGAAAGCGUGGGGAGCAAAACAGGAUUAGAUACCCUGGUAGUCCACGCCCUAAACGAUGUCAACUAGUUGUUGGGGAUUCAUUUCCUUAGUAACGUAGCUAACGCGUGAAGUUGACCGCCUGGGGAGUACGGUCGCAAGAUUAAAACUCAAAUGAAUUGACGGGGUCAUAGCUGUUUCCU